GUUCCAGGGGGUUCCUUUGAAAACUUCCUGCGGUGUCCAGGAGCGAGCAGCCUGCUGCACACAGGACGCAAUGCCUGCUGAAAUCCCAGAUGAAAAUUCAUAAUCCACUUAGGAAAAAGGAGGGGGGAUGCACGGAGUUAGCACAUAUUAAGUGCCUGCUGUAGUCAAGCCCUGUUGGACACCAGGGACAUCUGGACCUUGACAACGGAGCGAAGGGGUGGUCCUGCCUGCACCAGGUUUCAGGUGAGGAGAUUGAGGCCCACAGAGAUCCGGGACUGGCCUCACUUAGCUGUCAAUUUGGAUUAUAGCUUACUGCAUUUUUGAGAGAGGAGAGCUGAGAUUUGAAUCCACAUCAGACUGUGCUGGAAACAGAAUACAGAGCCCAUCGUAGGAUGUACUUCCCUCUGUAGCCUAGUUUCUGAAAGUGUCAUUAAACAUGUGGGAACCAA
rnacentral:lncRNA from 10 species